rnacentral:hammerhead_ribozyme from 1 species
GUACUGCUGGAGAGUCCCAAACUAGGACGAAACAGGUGGCUGUCCAGUAC